CACACAGCAGCCCCUCCAGUCCCAGUCUCCACCCACUGCAGCAAGUCCAGUGUGUUCUCAUAUACCCUCUGCUAAAUCUUUCUUACAGAGGAACCACUUGGGAAUAAUGGUGGAUCAUUGGAACCCAGAAGAUCAUGUUGCAGAUGGACAGAAUGAUUCAGCAGGAAUAAAUCUGCGGUCUACUCAUGCUAACUUUGCUAACACCAGGAACGUUCGGUGUUAAUUUUUAACAGAAAUUGGGACAGCGCCAUGUUAAUCCAGUUGGACCCUGGCAUGGACUAAAGAAGCAUCGCAGGGGAGAACAAUGGGCCAACUGAGUUUCUCUUGGGGAUUAAUUCCUUCUGAAUGACUGAUACAAGACCUCACUUUUCCUUUUUUUGAAAAGCCAUUUUAAGAGUCUGCAUACAAGAACUUAACUGAAGAAUAGCCCUUGGGUCUCACACAUUAAUUGAACACCAUGUGAUGCUAAGGAAUAGCACAGGACAACACAACAAGCCCAUUCAGCUGGCUGAGAGGGGUGGAGUGCUGCUGGGUUUCUCACUGUGUGAUGGGGUAAAUGUCAUUAAAGGGACCUCUUCCAAAUGGAGUCCAAACGAUCCUAACUGAACACCCAGCCUCCACACACGGUCAAACCACAGCAGGAGAAAUGACCCCUGGCCUGGGUCCUCUCCACCAACAACUCCUGCAUUUCCUAAGGAGGUGGCUGUGACCGGGGAAAUCCUAGCUCGAGAAAGAGAAAGAAACAGCUGCACCAACGAGGAGCUGGAAAGCUGCAGUGGGCUGCUUGUUUGAUUUGUCUGUUAUUUUAGUUUGUUGUGUUCCUUUGUCGUUUUUACCUGGAUCCCGUAAGGGUGAAGGGCAAAGACGUUUUGUUUUGUUUCCGUUCUAAAGGAUCACUCUCUCUCUCUCUCUCUACUAAGCAUUUAAAUAAAGUUCCGGAAUUCCCGUA